rnacentral:rRNA from 1 species
CCUACGGGGCAGCAGUGGGGAAUCUUGCGCAAUGGGCGAAAGCCUGACGCAGCAACGCCGCGUGCGGGAAGAAGGCCUUAGGGUUGUAAACCGCUUUCAGUAGGAACGAAAAUGACGGUACCUGCAGAAGAAGGUGCGGCCAACUACGUGCCAGCAGCCGCGGUGACACGUAGGCACCAAGCGUUGUCCGGAUUUAUUGGGCGUAAAGAGCUCGUAGGCGGUUCAGUAAGUCGGGUGUGAAAACUCUGGGCUUAACCCAGAGCCGCCACUCGAUACUGCUGUGACUUGAGUUCGGUAGGGGAGCAGGGAAUUCCUAGUGUAGCGGUGAAAUGCGCAGAUAUUAGGAGGAACACCGGUGGCGAAGGCGCUGCUCUGGGCCGAUACUGACGCUGAGGAGCGAAAGCGUGGGUAGCAAACAGGAUUAGAUACCCUGGUAGUCCACGCCGUAAACGUUGGGCACUAGGUGUGGGUUCCAACCAACGGAAUCCGCGCCGUCGCUAACGCAUUAAGUGCCCCGCCUGGGGAGUACGGCGGCAACGCUAAAACUCAAANAGAAUAGACGCGUGAGACGNGCCGACGACGACGACGAGGAGAG